UCGAGCUAAGCGAAAUGUCCGUGCCUGGCUUCACCUCGCGGGCGAGUGUGUGGCUCAAAACAGCGAUGUGCUCGCCGACAUCUCCCAGCCCCCUGGAUGUUGGUCCCCGGCGCUUCUCCUUGCUGGCUUCUGUCAAAGAGGUCUGUGGCUCCACAUGACGUCAGCCAGGCACAAAUCCGGGCCGUGGUUUUUGCGCAGUCCUCCUCUCUCCAGCAGCUAGUGCCGACCCGCUUUGUAACGUGACCUUCCUACGCCAAAUGUGUGUGUGUAGCGCUGACUGCAGUGCAGAGAGGACGGCUCUCUGGAGAAGAAACGUUACCCCUCCGGACAUGAGUGGACAUGCCGGUGAAAACUUAACAAUUUAACCUAACAACGGGGAAUGCUGUCGCCAUGAAGCUGGUGUGCCAACCGACACUAAAGAAGAGUCUAGCUAUUAUAUUACAAGCUUCAAGUAGGGCCAGCUGUUAAACAUGUCAAAGCAAUGAACUCUGGGUUUGAUAAGGUAGAAAAACACCCGUUAAUUCAAGAGAAAUAGCUAGUAUAUUUUUAAUGAAACUAAACGGAACAAAGACAGAAUAUUGGUCCAACACUGCGUUUAUAGCGACUCCCUGUCGGUAGGGGGCAGUGUGCGGUUAAUGGGAACAGUCAAGCAGCCAAUCAGAGAGGGCCAACCACACGGGCGCAAAGAGAGGGGGGAAGGAAGCUUUAUUGCCGCCAUUUCACGUGAAAGUAGCGCGUUAGAAACGACGUCCAGGGCCAUACAAAUCUACAAAUCUGCUCGAGUUUGUAUUAAAUACACCAAGUGGACAUUUAUAAGCUAACAGUAGCUGUUUUGCUAAACGGUAGGGACUAACGGCUUUCGGUUUAACUGGUCUAGUCUGUUGGUUGGAGACGAAGACAUGAGCUACGGAAGGCCGCCGCCAGACGUUGAGGGGAUGACCUCCCUGAAAGUGGACAACCUCACUUACCGAACAUCGCCGGAGACUCUGCGUCGAGUUUUUGAGAAGUAUGGCCGCGUAGGAGACGUGUAUAUCCCCCGGGACAGGUACACCAAGGAGAGCCGCGGGUUCGCCUUCGUGCGGUUCCUCGACAAGCGAGACGCCGAGGACGCCAUGGACGCUAUGGACGGCGCGCUGCUCGACGGACGGGAGCUCCGGGUGCAGAUGGCACGCUACGGACGGCCUCCGGACUCAAUGUACAGCCGGAGAGGGGCUCCGCCACGCAGAUAUGGAGGGUACGGACGCAGAAGCAGGAGCCGUUCAGCCAGUCCUCGUCGCCGCAGACGUAGCCGCAGCCGCUCCAGGAGCAGAAGCCGUUCCCGAUCCAGGAGUCGCCACCACUAUAGCCGCUCCAGGUCCCGCUCCUACUCCAGAUCCAGGUCAAGGUCCAAGUCUAAAUCCAAGUCCAAGUCCAGAACCCCCAGGCGGAGCAAGUCAAAGUCUCCCUCCAGGUCUCGGUCACGUUCCAGGUCCAAGUCAAGGAGUCGAACCCCACCUUCCAACAGAGGGUCCAAAUCCAGGUCCAGGUCCAAAUCCAAGAGUAGGCCUAAAUCUCCAGAGGACAACGGAGCAGAGUGUUAACCCAAACUUGGACACAAUAUGACGCUGCGGAGUCCUGUUUGCAAAGAGAGGAGGAGGAGGAGGAGGAGGAGAUGGGGGUGUGGCAAUGUGAGAGCAGUUAGUGUGUGACCCGCCCAUGUGACCUGCCUGUUGCUGAGAGCGAUGGCAAUUGCUAAGGAGCAGGUCGUCAUGUCGGUGGUUCGGGCUGUCAGUUGGUGUAUGAUGUGGUGUGGUGAGGUACGUUCACAGGGAUCACAGGCAGAUGCACUGAGCACUGUUCCCACCUGUGCCUGUGGGUUCCUCCGCCUCUCACAAAGGGAACGCACCCCGAGAUCUCAGAUGAUCGAGCCUUUUGCUGAGGACAUCAGGAAGAGUCUCACAAUGAGCAAGUGGACUCCCCUAUUACCACUGAAUGCAGACUGAAAGGUUAUUGGAGCUUGGUCUAAAAUGUUUUAAAUGUUUCAUUUGACUUAAUUUACCUGCACAAAUUCUGUAACUUCGAUGUGGUCAUUGUUGUGAAGUUGGUCGUGUUGAAAGGGAUUUGUAAGGCUUCUGUUUGUUUUUGUUUUUUUCCUCAUUUAAAUUGGAUAUUUUGCAUAUUUGAUUAAAUUUGUACUUUAAUAAAUUCUUUUUUGAAUUAACAGAAUUUCUUUUAAUAAAAUCCCAUGUUUAAUACUCUUUCUAGAUGGAUAUGAAAGUUUUAUUUGCAGAGUUGAUGUAGAAAAGGGUUUCAUGUUGGAUGUUCAAAGCCUUUACAGCUAUGUUAAACCACUCUCAUUGGAAAAAUGGCUUAUUGUACAGUGACAUAAAAAGCAAAACAUCUAAGUGUCGCAGUGCCACUUAAUUUGUGAUUUGCUAAUCCGGCAGCAGAGCAUUUUCUUUUCUGUCAAAUCUUUUUUUCUGUCUAGUUAAAGUUGCUUUCCUAUGACUCUAACCCUCUUUCUUGUGUAUCUUUUGUGCACUAGGCGCAGUUGUGUAGCAGUUGAGUAAUGCUGGUUAGCUGUUAAGAUGCGGUGCAGUGCGGUGGUGACAUGGUGUGGCGUGUUGCGGUGCUGAGUGCCCGGCGCUGUUCCGGGGCUCGACCCUCCGCUGCCGUUUGCCGGUUUGUAAGCUCACAUGUGUGGCAGAUCAACCAUCCUCUCCUGUCUUGUGACCUCUCCUUCCCCCUCCCAUGUGCUGUACAGAUUAUCUCCUUCCUUUUUAUCUUUAUUCUCCCUCCUCUCUCUUUCCCCCUCUGUGGUUUAUCCACUGUUGAUAACUGGUUUUGCUCGCUUUUUGAAAUUGGGUCCAGUGUGACUUAGCGAAGGGUUUAAAGGGCAGUCCAGGCUGCUUAAUGAAUACUUUUUGUGUAUUGCAUUCCUCUGUGAACCUCUCAAUUGUCUUGUAAUUGCUUCAGGUGAAUGCAAAUAAACAUUUUUGGCGUAAAGAA